rnacentral:rRNA from 1 species
AGAGUUUGAUCCUGGCUCAGGAUGAACGCUAGCUACAGGCUUAACACAUGCAAGUCGAGGGGAAACGACAUCGAAAGCUUGCUUUCGAUGGGCGUCGACCGGCGCACGGGUGAGUAACGCGUAUCCAACCUGCCCAUCACUUGGGGAUAACCUUGCGAAAGUAAGACUAAUACCCAAUGACGUCUCUAGAAGACAUCUGAAGGAGAUUAAAGAUUUAUCGGUGAUGGAUGGGGAUGCGUCUGAUUAGCUUGUUGGCGGGGUAACGGCCCACCAAGGCGACGAUCAGUAGGGGUUCUGAGAGGAAGGUCCCCCACAUUGGAACUGAGACACGGUCCAAACUCCUACGGGAGGCAGCAGUGAGGAAUAUUGGUCAAUGGGCGAGAGCCUGAACCAGCCAAGUAGCGUGCAGGAUGACGGCCCUAUGGGUUGUAAACUGCUUUUAUAAGGGAAUAAAGUGAGCCUCGUGAGGCUUUUUGCAUGUACCUUAUGAAUAAGGACCGGCUAAUUCCGUGCCAGCAGCCGCGGUAAUACGGAAGGUCCGGGCGUUAUCCGGAUUUAUUGGGUUUAAAGGGAGCGUAGGCCGGAGAUUAAGCGUGUUGUGAAAUGUAGACGCUCAACGUCUGCACUGCAGCGCGAACUGGUUUCCUUGAGUACGCACAAAGUGGGCGGAAUUCGUGGUGUAGCGGUGAAAUGCUUAGAUAUCACGAAGAACUCCGAUUGCGAAGGCAGCUCACUGGAGCGCAACUGACGCUGAAGCUCGAAAGUGCGGGUAUCGAACAGGAUUAGAUACCCUGGUAGUCCGCACGGUAAACGAUGGAUGCCCGCUGUUGGUCUGAAUAGGUCAGCGGCCAAGCGAAAG